rfam:Triticum aestivum genome assembly, contig: Triticum_aestivum_CS42_TGACv1_scaffold_404870_5BL
AUGGUACUCCCUCCGUCCUAAAAUUCUUGUCUUAAAUUUGUUUAAAUACGGAUAUAUGUAGUUACGUUUUAGUAUUAGAUACAUCCGUAUCUAGACAAAUCUAAGACAAGAAUUUUGGGACAGAGGGAGUAGAAA